CCUACGGGAGGCAGCAGUAGGGAAUCUUCCGCAAUGGACGAAAGUCUGACGGAGCAACGCCGCGUGAACGAUGAAGGCCUUCGGGUCGUAAAGUUCUGUUGUUAGGGAAGAACAAGUGCUAGUUGAAUAAGCUGGCGCCUUGACGGUACCUAACCAGAAAGCCACGGCUAACUACGUGCCAGCAGCCGCGGUAAUACGUAGGUGGCAAGCGUUGUCCGGAAUUAUUGGGCGUAAAGCGCGCGCAGGCGGUUUCUUAAGUCUGAUGUGAAAGCCCCCGGCUCAACCGGGGAGGGUCAUUGGAAACUGGGAAACUUGAGUGCAGAAGAGGAAAGUGGAAUUCCAAGUGUAGCGGUGAAAUGCGUAGAGAUUUGGAGGAACACCAGUGGCGAAGGCGACUUUCUGGUCUGUAACUGACGCUGAGGCGCGAAAGCGUGGGGAGCAAACAGGAUUAGAUACCCUGGUAGUCCACGCUGUAAACGAUGAGUGCUAAGUGUUAGAGGGUUUCCGCCCUUUAGUGCUGAAGUUAACGCAUUAAGCACUCCGCCUGGGGAGUACGGUCGCAAGACUGAAACUCAAAGGAAUUGACGG
rnacentral:rRNA from 1 species